rnacentral:rRNA from 2 species
GACCUCAAAUCAGGUAGGACUACCCGCUGAACUUAAGCAUAUCAAUAAGCGGAGGAAAAGAAACUAACAAGGAUUCCCCUAGUAACUGCGAGUGAAGCGGGAAAAGCUCAAAUUUAAAAUCUGGCGGUCUCUGGCCGUCCGAGUUGUAAUCUAGAGAAGUGUUAUCCGCGCUGGACCGUGUACAAGUCUCCUGGAAUGGAGCGUCAUAGAGGGUGAGAAUCCCGUCUUUGACACGGACUACCAGUGCUUUGUGAUGCGCUCUCAAAGAGUCGAGUUGUUUGGGAAUGCAGCUCAAAAUGGGUGGUAAAUUCCAUCUAAAGCUAAAUAUUGGCGAGAGACCGAUAGCGAACAAGUACCGUGAGGGAAAGAUGAAAAGAACUUUGGAAAGAGAGUUAAACAGUACGUGAAAUUGCUGAAAGGGAAACGCUUGAAGUCAGUCGCGUUGGCCGGGGAUCAACCUUGCUUUUGCUGGGUGUACUUUCCGGUUGACGGGUCAGCAUCAAUUUUGACCGUUGGAUAAAGUGUAAGGGAAUGUGGCAUCUUCGGAUGUGUUAUAGCCCUUGCUCGCAUACAACGAUUGGGAUUGAGGAACUCAGUACGCCGCAAGGCCGGGAAUUUAUUCCACGUUCGUACUUAGGAUGCUGGCAUAAUGGCUUUAAUCGACCCGUCUUGAAACACGGACCAAGGAGUCUAACAUGCCUGCGAGUGUUUGGGUGGAAAACCCGAGCGCGUAAUGAAAGUGAAAGUUGAGAUCCCUGUCGUGGGGAGCAUCGACGCCCGGACCAGACCUUUUGUGACGGAUCUGCGGUAGAGCAUGUAUGUUGGGACCCGAAAGAUGGUGAACUAUGCCUGAAUAGGGUGAAGCCAGAGGAAACUCUGGUGGAGGCUCGUAGCGAUUCUGACGUGCAAAUCGAUCGUCAAAUUUGGGUAUAGGGGCGAAAGACUAAUCGAACCAUCUAGUAGCUGGUUCCU